AAUAUUGCGCAAUGGGGGAAACCCUGACGCGGCAACGCCGCGUGAGCGAAGAAGGCCUUCGGGUCGUAAAGCUCUGUCUAGCGGGAUGAAUAAUGACAGUACCUCUGGAGGAAGCCCCGGCUAACUACGUGCCAGCAGCCUCGGUAAUACGUAGGGGGCAAGCGUUGUCCGGAAUUACUGGGCGUAAAGGGCGCGUAGGCGGUCUAAUAAGUCAGAUGUGAAAGUCCAGGGCUCAACCCUGGAAUUGCAUUUGAAACCGUAAGACUUGAGUGCAGGAGAGGAGAGCGGAAUUCCUAGUGUAGCGGUGAAAUGCGUAGAUAUUAGGAGGAACACCAGUGGCGAAGGCGACUCUCUGGUCUAUAACCGACGCUGAGGCGCGAAAGCGUGGGGAGCAAAC
rnacentral:rRNA from 1 species